rnacentral:rRNA from 1 species
AGCGAACGCUGGCGGCAGGCCUAAUACAUGCAAGUCGAGCGCACCUUCGGGUGAGCGGCGGACGGGUGAGUAACGCGGGGGAACGUGCCCUUUGGUACGGGAUAACCGAGGGUAACUUCAGCUAAUACCGUAUGUGCCCUACGGGGGAAAGAUUUAUCGCCAUUGGAGCGGCCCGCGUUGGAUUAGGUAGUUGGUGAGGUAAAGGCUCACCAAGCCUACGAUCCAUAGCUGGUCUGAGAGGAUGAUCAGCCACACUGGGACUGAGACACGGCCCAGACUCCUACGGGAGGCAGCAGUAGGGAAUCUUGCGCAAUGGGCGAAAGCCUGACGCAGCCAUGCCGCGUGAAUGAUGAAGGUCUUAGGAUUGUAAAAUUCUUUCACCGGGGAAGAUAACGACGGUACCCGAAGAAGAAGCCCCGGCUAACUUCGUGCCAGCCGCCGCCGUAAGAC